UGAAAGCUGAUUGUGCAGUUUCUUAUACUUUCCAUUCGUAAUCAGUAACGAUUUGACACGGAUGUCAAAUCGAGCGAAUACGCAACACGAUGUUGCGCAUGAGCGGUUACGUCCAUAUAGAAAAACUAUGAGGAAAGUAUUAGAAAAUGCCAAUUAGUUUUCU
ncrna:unclassified sequences TwoGGAY RNA